rfam:Lyngbya majuscula 3L genomic scaffold scf52118, whole genome shotgun sequence.
GUCAACUACCGCACACUGACCUAACGGUACAGUGUGGGCUUGAAAGAGCCUGUUGACCAGAUGGCUAAUCAAAUUAGCAGCCGUUAAGACCAAGAGUUAAAGUUCCUACCUUGGGGUGCGUGCCAGCUCCAAGCUCUAGAAAUGAGUAAUUAAACAGGUUAUUCGGGAAAGCCAGUGUUACUCAUAAAGUACCGAGUCUUAACACCGUCGAUGCAAACUUUAC